UACGUAGGUGACAAGCGUUGUCCGGAUUUACUGGGCGUAAAGAGCGCGCAGGCGGUCGAUCAAGUCGAGUGUGAAAGCCCCCGGCUCAACUGGGGAGGGUCAUUCGAUACUGAUCGACUCGAAGGCAGGAGAGGGUAGUGGAAUUCCCGGUGUAGUGGUGAAAUGCGUAGAUAUCGGGAGGAACACCAGUGGCGAAGGCGACUACCUGGCCUGUUCUUGACGCUGAGGCGCGAAGGUCAGGGGAGCAAACGGG
rnacentral:rRNA from 1 species